rnacentral:tRNA from 1 species
GCCCACGUAGCUCAGACGGUAGAGCACAUCCUUGGUAAGGAUGUGGUCGGCGGUUCGAGUCCGCCCGUGGGCUCCA